AUUUAAUCCAAGAACUUCUUGACCCCAUCUGACUUGGCACCCCCUUAUUUUUCUUUUUUUCUUGCAGCCCUCAAACAAUCGAGGAAUUGAGGAAUCAAUUAAGGGUAUUGCAAGCUCAACUUGCAGGAGUACAAAAGAGACUGAGGAUCACUUUGAGGCCAAUCUCUUUGAAGUUGCUAUUUGUUGUGGAAAUUAAAUCACUGAUUUUGUAAUUCAUAUAUUGUAAUUUAGUAUUUCGU